UACGGAAGGCAGCAGUGGGGAAUAUUGCACAAUGGGCGCAAGCCUGAUGCAGCCAUGCCGCGUGUAUGAAGAAGGCCUUCGGGUUGUAAAGUACUUUCAGCGGGGAGGAAGGCGAUGUGGUUAAUAACCGCAUCGAUUGACGUUACCCGCAGAAGAAGCACCGGCUAACUCCGUGCCAGCAGCCGCGGUAAUACGGAGGGUGCAAGCGUUAAUCGGAAUUACUGGGCGUAAAGCGCACGCAGGCGGUCUGUCAAGUCGGAUGUGAAAUCCCCGGGCUUAACCUGGGAACUGCAUUCGAACUGGCAGGCUAGAGUCUUGUAGAGGGGGUAGAAUUCCAGGUGUAGCGGUGAAAUGCGUAGAGAUCUGGAGGAAUACCGGUGGCGAAGGCGGGCCCCUGGGACAAAGCUGACGCUCAGGUGCGAAAGCGUGGGGAGCGAAACAGGGAUUAGAUAACC
rnacentral:rRNA from 1 species